GAUGAAGAACGUAGCGAAAUGCGAUAAGUAAUGUGAAUUGCAGAAUUCAGUGAAUCAUCGAAUCUUUGAACGCACAUUGCGCCCCCUGGUAUUCCGGGGGGCAUGCCUGUCCGAGCGUCAUUACUGCCCUCAAGCGCGGCUUGUGUGUUGGGCCCUCGCCCCCCCGGGGGCGUGCCCGAAAGGCAGUGGCGGCGCCGUGCCCGGUCCUCGAGCGUAUGGGGCUUUGUCACCCGCUCUGGAGGCCCGGCCGGCGCUUGCCGACACAUCAAUCUUUUUUCCAGGUUGACCUCGGAUCAGGUAGGGAUACCCGCUGAACUUAAGCAUAUCAAUAAGCGGAGGA
rnacentral:misc_RNA from 1 species